UGAAUUUAUUUAAAUGGCUGCAGUAUUUUGACUGUACAAAGGUAGCAUAAUAAUUUGUUUUUUAAUUAAAAACUUGAAUGAAAGAUUUAAUGAAAUAUAAUCUGUUUCAAUUAAUUUAAUUUAAUUUUUUAUUUAAGUAAAAAAACUUAAAUAUAUUUUAAAGACGAUAAGACCCUAUAGAAUUUUAUUUUUAUAUUUAAUAAAUUUAUUUAUAAAAAUUUAAUUGGGGAAAUUAAAAAAUUUAUUUAAUUUUUUUUUUAAAUAACAUUAAUUAAUGAAUUAGAUUAUCUUAAUUUUUAAAUUUAAAAAAAUUAAUUACCUUAGGGAUAACAGCAUGAUUUUUUUUAAAAGUUCUUAUUAAUAAAAAA
rnacentral:rRNA from 1 species